CAUAAAAGAAACAUAAUGAACAAACAAAUAUUUCAUGUUUUUGAAGACCGAUAAAACUAUUCUUAUAAUCAAACAACAAUGUGAAUAAAAAACACAACUCAGAAGCGUCCGGAUAAUACUGCUGUACGGAAAUUACUCGUUAACUAGUAGUUUCAGAAAGGAAAUAUUUACCAGUUCAAUAACUUUAAUCAGUACAUAAUCGGAUGUUGGAUUUGUUUCCAUUCUGUUUUGAAUAUGUUUUUCCCAGUUAAUGAAAAUGUUUCUUUGUUCUUUGUGUGAUCUUUGAUUGCUGAGAAUGUAACCUACGACUAAUUGCGAAUUUCGGCACAAGACACAAUAACAUGUUUAUAUAUGGUUCACAAUGCGCGGACUUUAAACAUGGCAGAUCGGGAUAAUAGAUGAUUGGGGCGGUUCGUACUCAGAUGAUGUGUUAGUUAUACAACAUACUUUAGAGUGCUUCAUAGAGAUCUAGGGUUGAAAAAACACCUGAACAUCUUGGAAAACUACAAUUUAAUGCACUUGAAACAAGUCAUUCACCACAAUGUGUGCUAUAACGUGUGCCUGUUACUGCUAGAGUGUUUGCUUAAGUUGUAUUAUGGUUUAAAUUACUGUUACUGGAUGGUUAAACUCAAUUAAAAUAAAACAACUGCACAUAAAAACACGGCUUGUUUUUUUCGUGCAAGAAAAGUAUCUUGUUGUACAGCAAGAACAAUGAUGUGGUAUUUUGUAUUCUGUAUCUGCAGCGUGCUUGGAAUCUUCAUUACUGAUGGCAUUAUGGGUCAGACUACACUGAUAGCGACAAAUACUGACAUCACUCAAAUUGAAUUAGUGUGUAACUUUAACAAUAUCAAAAACUCAAAAUCAGUUCUUUUUCAAGAAAACUCUCAUCAGAUAGAAAUUGAAAUAAAAAACGAAGGAGAAUGUCGUAUCAUUGAAGAUUCUUAAAAAGUAUAAUGCGGAUGUACUGCCACUCAUCCCGUUGCUUGCAAUUUUUCACUGAACUAAAAUCAAAAGGGAUGUCAACGAUGGAUGUGCUCGGCUUUACACAAUACCAUUCCAUAUAGGAAAGAAUAUUUAGAUGUCUGUUUUACUGACUUCAUCUCUACGUCAUAUCAACAAAGCAACCUAUCGAAAGUGCAGCGACCAAUGGUCACCUGUUCAGAUGAUUUUAUAAAUCCCGGCGUCGUACAUUUGAUUUCAGAAGAUCGAUUUUUGAUCGGUGAUAUACAAUGGAUUAAACUGAAUGUGCAUAAUAUAAGUUUCCUUGAACAACUAGUCACCAAUGAAGAGAAAUUGCACAUUGUAGACUCUUAUUAACCUUUCAGUUCAUUUGCCAUUGACGGAAAUCUUCUGUUAAUGUUACAUCAGAAUGCACAGCGGACUGGUUUUCCAAACGGAAAUCGACCAACGCCGAAAGAUUCGUGUAUUAAAUUCAAAGGUAAUCCAACAAUUGGACAAAUAGUUAAAGAGUACAAGUCAACUGUGUGCCCUUCUGUUAACCUCCGUUACUAUAUCAACAUAACGCUUUGCGAAGCUGUCAAUUGAAAUGUUAUUGGGGCAGGAAAGUUUCCUGGAAAUGCUACUGUUAAAGUCUUAUAUCCGGCAUCUAUUCGAGAAUUCUAUUUAGAGGGGUUUGUUGAUCAACAGAGUGUAUCAGUGACGGACAAACGAAAUGUAACGUUUGUCUGUAAAGCGUUUGGCGAUCCGUCUCCUCAUAUUCAUCUUACGUCGGAAUCCUUAAACGUUUCAACCAACAAUUCAUACCUGAGACUCACUAAAUCUUUCAUCACUCGCCAAGAUUCUGGAACAGUCACAUGCAUAGCUACAAACGGUCUUGGUGCAGAAAAUAGAUCAAUUUAUGUUCAGGCGAAUGUACAAGACGAUGCAAGAUCCUUUUCCUUCACACUUGCUGUAUGCCUUGGAUGUGGAGUGUGUGGAGUGGUGGUACUGGUUGCCGUUGUGUGUCUGUACAAACGACGCUACAUAAUCUUGCAAGUAUUUCAUUCAAACGGUACAGUUCUUAUGGACAAAAUAGAAAAGUAGAAAUUUGAUAUUGUUUAAGCUUCUGCUUAAGCGGAAUAAUGAUUGCAAUUAAUUUAUAGUACAUAUACAUAAUAACAUAAAUACAAAUAAAUACAUUUAUACUCUAUGUAUUGGAUCUCCAGAGGGAGGAAAUUAUUAAAACUUCAUACAUUUACUCUUUU